CAGCAGGACGGGGACGCGACGGGAGGGAAGUCGUCAGGUGUCACGUCUGUCAUGUCACAGUCCUUCCAGGCCUGGGUCAAAACGCAUUUCUGAAACGGGACACUUUAACUCUCGCGACGCCGGUUUUGGUUGAGCUAUUUUAGCAUGUCUCCUGGGUUAGCACUGCUGCUGAACUGUUCAGGCGGAUCUGUGAGCUUGUUAAGAAGAAGGUAGCUGAGCUACUGUGGUCCCCGGGCACAGCCGGUCAUCGUACGAGCAGGCCGGAAAAAUAUGCUCGUCAGCCAGAAGAUGAGUGGGGAGCCCUGGGAUUUGAAAUACACUCAGACGCCCUCGAAUAUUACCGCCAGAAGAAGACUGGGUGUACGGAUUUAGUCACAACGUGAGCUUAAAGGAUGAGCUCACCGCACAUUUACCGUUUCUCCAGAGUGCGCUGCGCCGUGACUAGACUUUUCAUGCUAAUUCUUUUCCAACAAGAUCGACGUUGGUGUCAACAAUUCCACCUACUUUGUUUGUCCAUUCAAUCACAGCCUGGUCUUAGGACAUGUCUUUCAUUUUAGGAUCAGCCUCUCAUGCCCUGAUUAUACAUUUCUGCCCCAUCCAUGUUUCACAAUUAUAAUCGUUCAUUAGGGCCAUCUUGUGUGUAUUCCAAUCCAUGUUUUGGACCGAAGUGAUGAGUGCCAUCGUCUCGGAUCGGAUUUGGCUCACGCCAGUGCCUACUGUGGCCGCCAGCCCUGCCCUGGGCGGCGCACAAUUGCCUUUCCGUUGCCCAAGAGAUUUAUGGGAAGGAUUCAGUCAGUGGGGAUGGCACUGUUCCUUGCUCUAGUGACCCCCGUUGGCUUUCCGAACACCCGUGGCUUGCUCUCGGGGGUAACCGUAUGAUUGGGUCUCCUCCGCCCCCGCUCUGUGUGUGCACGGCUAGUGGGUGCGGUGUGAAAAGAAGCAGCUGGCUGGCACUGUGUGUUUUGGAGAACUCUCCUUAGCAGGCUGCAGGGGGGUGAUAUUUGAGCACGCUUGUACUUAGUUUGGAAAUUGUACAUUCCAAAUUUGGAUUGCAGAUGGCAAAUUUUAAAAAAAGAAAAAGAAAACACUUGACUCCUCAGCAAACCACUCCUAAAGGUAACUGCAAAGCUAAAGGCAGACCACAUUAUUAUAUUAUUAAAUCAUAUUAUACCAUAUUAUAAAAGUUAGUUUUGAAAGUAAGUCCAUGGACAUUGAUAAAUGUAUCAUUCGUGACUGAGAACAAUAAUGCUAAAGUGACAUGGAUAGGUGACUAAGCACUCAUGCUUGUAGUCAUUAUUCAGAAAGGCAAUUGGGCACAAUUGUUUGUCUUUAAACCCACAGAAAAAUAUCAACCUUGGCAGAAAUGGAGAAAUAACUCUGAAAGGAACCUUUGCUUCCUGCAUAUGAAGGCUUCCUUCCUUCCAUCAGCAUGCAGGAGACUAAAUCAACACACUGUCGUUCACCAUCUGGG